UCCCAUAAGAAAGCCAAAGAUCACAUCUUGCUUCCUCCUUCCUUGACACCAACUCGGACUUGCUGUAUGAGUUUUCACCAUACUCAACUCUGAUUCUACUUCUCUCAGCCUCCCCACAAGUUGAUACAACUCGUUCUUCCCUUGCCUUAGACUGUAGAUCACGCCCUUGGCUUCAUGAACCUCCAACCUUGCUGUCUGACCUUCUUCAGCAGCUACCUCCUUUAAAGUUUCCACCUUUACUUGAAUCUCUUCCAACCUUGCUG
rnacentral:lncRNA from 1 species